rnacentral:sRNA from 1 species
GCUGGGUGUGGUGGCGGACGCCUGUAAUCCCAGCUACUCGGGAGGCUGAGGCAGGAGAAUCACUUGAACCCAGGAGGCAGAGAUUGCAGUAAGCCGAGAUCGUGCCACUGCACUCCAGCCUGGUGACAGAGUGAGACUCUGUCUCAAAAAAAAAACAACGGCCAGGCGCGGUUGCUCACGCCUGUACUCCCAGCACUUUGGGAGGCCAAGACAGGUGGAUCGGGAGAUCAGAAGAUCCAGACUAUCCUGGCUAACACAGUGAAAUCCUGUCUCU